GUGAAACAUCUCAACGUCAUCAACCAAUCCACCAAUCACAAACUCUGGGAAGUUUGGGACUCCAGAAGACCCGGUGUAGAAAUACUUCAGAGAGAUCAACGGAGUCAACUUUCUGCAGGUGUCUGGGAGUUUUGGAUGGUCUGUUUCAGAAUCCUCCACUGUCCUCUGCUCUCUCAAUCAACACACAGAUCACAUUUCUGGCUGGAGCUGCACUUUACAAUUCUCCACUAGUCACCUAAACAUCUCUUACAAAUCUGUCCCAGAAUCAAUAAAUGAAUAGAUCAAAUAUUUAAACAACAGUAGAGCUCUGUGAUGCUGGAUCUUUGAGGCUGAUACUGAUAUCAAUACUUUUAGUUUGGUUUUAAAAUCUGAUAUAACAGUCGAUCUGCUUUCAAAUAAAUGGGCACAUGACAUAAAUAAUGAGUCUGACCCAGAUCCACACUGAUCAGAACAUUUCCCAGUUUAAAGAUCAACUUGUGCUCUCUGGUGGACAAACUAUGUAAUGAUGACUCGUUUCUAAAUGAGCUCAGACCUAGUUUACUGUUUCCUGUUAUCAGCCAACAUAUCCACUGAUACCAAUAUAUAUCUGCUAUAAGAUGAUAUCAGCUAAUCAUAUGGAUGGAGGAUUUAUCUUCAAGCUCAGUAAACUAUAUUCAUGUUUCAGUUUAUGGAGUCAAACUCUUGAAUUAUCUGAUGAAUGGCUUCAAAUAUUUAGUUUUUAUGAGAUGCAAUUUUUAUUUUAUAGUGAGCAAAACAAUCAGUGUAACAAUCUAAUGUACAAAUAGCUAUUCUAUCUAUUCUAUCCUUCCCUGUUUUUCUGUGCUCACAUUAUGUCAAAUGAUUCUCUACAUAUUGGUUAUUUAUUUAUUUAGCCUGUACAGGUGUGGAGAUCAAAUAGUGACGUCAAAAUAUGUAUAAUAAUUUCUCAAAAAAACAUCAUGAUUAAUAACACUGAAUUAAUUUUUAUUUUUAUUUCAACAACGUUUCCAAAGUGGAUUUAUUGGACUGUGUUGCUGGGUUGCAAUGGACAUUGCAAAUGGGAUUAGCUGCUUGGAACAAUGUUAGUUAUAAGCGUAAGCCAUUGCAUAUCUCAAGAUUUCAAACAUCUACAAUCAUGAUUAAUUCAUAAAUUAAUGCCAACUCACUUUUAAUAUAAAACGCUCAUGAAUAAGUUAAUAAAAUGAAAUGAAACUC